GAUGAACGCUAGCGACAGGCCUAACACAUGCAAGUCGAGGGGUAACAGGGAGCUUGCUCCGCUGACGACCGGCGCACGGGUGAGUAACGCGUAUGCAACCUGCCUAUUACAGGGGGAUAACCCGGAGAAAUUCGGAUUAAUACCGCAUAAUACUGAGAUGUGGCAUCAUAUUUUAGUUAAAGAUUUAUUGGUAAUAGAUGGGCAUGCGUUCCAUUAGUUAGUUGGUGAGGUAACGGCUCACCAAGACGUCGAUGGAUAGGGGUUCUGAGAGGAAGGUCCCCCACACUGGUACUGAGACACGGACCAGACUCCUACGGGAGGCAGCAGUGAGGAAUAUUGGUCAAUGGGCGAGAGCCUGAACCAGCCAAGUCGCGUGCAGGAUGACUGCCUUAUGGGUUGUAAACUGCUUUUAUACAGGAAUAACAACAGAUACGUGUAUCUGGAUGAAUGUACUGUAAGAAUAAGGAUCGGCUAACUCCGUGCCAGCCGCCGCAGUAAUAC
rnacentral:rRNA from 1 species